GUUCAUUUAUACCAGUAGGGACAGCAGAUCACACUCUUAUGAUGUGUAGCAAGUCACUAUCUUGUAUUUUUAAACUGCUUCCUUGGAGAUGUCCAAUGUUAGUUUGCUCCCAUCUCAGUUCCAUGCUGAAGAAUAAACCUGUUUUUUACACUCUUAGUAAUGGUCUUACUUUUAGGUGAUGGAAGCCCUCGAACUGCCAGGUAGUUCUGGUCUUGGUGCUCAGGAGUUGUGCAACUGGUGAGCAACAGUCAGAUUUCUUAACUCCAGAACCGACAGAGGGCUGUAAGAGGCAGUUUUGUCAAGAACAGGUUUUCUGGUUUGGAUGAGAGAGGUGCAACUCUUUGAAAAUACACCUCAAAAAAAUUCAGUACAUUGAAAUGUUGAACCACGUGUCACUGUAAGAGAGAGCGUUGCUUUCUUAUAAGUUUCAGUAAAAUCAUGUCAGUACUUGUUUAUUUACUGGAGGAAGUGCUUCAGCAGAGGAGUGCUGGUAGCUCCAGGAGCCUGCAGUGUGGCUCAGAUGGGUGCUGAGGUUAAUGUCUGUAUUUCAGCGAGGGCAGGAAGUUGCCAAAAUUCCUAUGGAUGGACUAUUUUAUUUUUUUAUAUAAAUAAAUGGUUAAUGUAUUAAUCAAAUUAGUGCUUUGAUUUAUUUUUUUUCUCGACAAAGCAAUGCCCUAAUCAAUGCACUGUGGAAUGUUCCACUAGGAGUUUAGCUUUGUUUCAUCUGUACUUUUGGAAGGAGGAAGAACUUCAUUGCAGUGCAAGGUGGCAAAAUCAAUUAAAUCUUGAUUUUUGUGAGACAGCAACAGCUGUUUCUCAUUCGGAUCUAGCCCGUCCUGCACAGCAGGAAAUGGAAUGCUUUGGUUCAGAGUUUUAUGGUUUUGAUGCAGGGGAAGAAUCAAGUGAAUGAAAGUGCGGCGGAAGCCAACCACACUUCUUUCUGCCUUUCCCAGACUGAUGCUCAGGUAUGGCACGAUGCAAGCCGGAGCUUUUGGGAUACUUGCAGCUGCAAGAUGUGUUUAAUUUGGGUGUCUUGGUAGCUAUUGACAUACUGAGUGUGCAUUCCUCUUGCAGUUUGGUGAAUGAAGCAAAUACAGAUACUUCAGAGUUGAGCGCAGCAGGAUAUGUAGUGCAUGAAACCUGUAUUUUUAUACACAACUGGAGAAACUUCUUAAAGGUGAUCUGGGAAUGCACUGCAAUGCUCGUGGGUCGCUCUGACCAGGGAGAGCCUACCGGCUUCUCAGAGCUCCUGCUCACUAUACGGGUGGUGAAGAUGCACCAGCUACAGAUAGUGUUGCAACAGGAGGAGACAAAAGUCUGUGAGGAAAGUAGAAGUGACCAGUUCCCUGUAUUCCACUCCCAACCACUUCCUCUUUUCAAUGAUCUCCCAAAAUAA
rnacentral:lncRNA from 1 species